rnacentral:tRNA from 1 species
UGGGGAGUGGUGUAGCUGGCAACACGUCUGGUUCUGGCCCAGAAGAUCGUGGGUUCGAGUCCUACCUCCCCAGCCA